UGAAGGUGAUGCUGCUAUAACAUCUAUCACCCCAUUGAUCACCAGGGUUGAUUCUGCUGACCUGGCUGGCUAGGUGUGUGUCCCUCUCCUCCCUUA
rnacentral:snRNA from 1 species